rnacentral:rRNA from 1 species
AUUGAACGCUAGCGGGAUGCUUUACACAUGCAAGUCGAACGCAGUGGCGGACGGGUGAGUAAUUUAUCGGAACGUGCCCAGUAGCGGGGGAUAACUACUCGAAAGAGUGGCUACUACCGCUUACUAUUGGUGCGGCCGAUAUCGGAUUAGCUAGUUGGUGGGGGAAAGGCUCACCAAGGCAACGAUCCGUAGCUGGUUUGAGAGGACGACCAGCCACACUGGGACUGGGACACGGCCCAGACUCCGACGGGAGGCAGCAGUGGGGAAUUUUGGGCAAUGGGGGAAACCCUGAUCCAGCCAACCCGCGUGUAUGAUGAAGGCCUUCGGGUUGUAAAGUACUUGUUGCAGAGAAGCGGUAUCUGCAGAAUAAGCACCGGCUAACUACGUGCCAGCAGCCGCGGUAAUAC